rnacentral:rRNA from 1 species
AGAGUUUGAUCCUGGCUCAGAUUGAACGCUGGCGGCAUGCCUUACACAUGCAAGUCGAACGGCAGCACGGGUGCUUGCACCUGGUGGCGAGUGGCGAACGGGUGAGUAAUGUAUCGGAACGUACCAUUCAGUGGGGGAUAACUAUCCGAAAGGAUAGCUAAUACCGCAUAUUCUGUGAGCAGGAAAGCAGGGGAUCGCAAGACCUUGCGCUGAUUGAGCGGCCGAUAUCAGAUUAGCUAGUUGGUGGGGUAAAAGCCUACCAAGGCGACGAUCUGUAGCGGGUCUGAGAGGAUGAUCCGCCACACUGGAACUGAGACACGGUCCAGACUCCUACGGGAGGCAGCAGUGGGGAAUUUUGGACAAUGGGCGAAAGCCUGAUCCAGCCAUGCCGCGUGAGUGAAGAAGGCCUUCGGGUUGUAAAGCUCUUUCGGCCGGGAAGAAAUCGCAUGGGCUAAUACCCUGUGUGGAUGACGGUACCGGAAUAAGAAGCACCGGCUAACUACGUGCCAGCAGCCGCGGUAAUACGUANGGUGCGAGCGUUAAUCGGAAUUACUGGGCGUAAAGCGUGCGCAGGCGGUUUUUUAAGACAGGCGUGAAAUCCCCGGGCUUAACCUGGGAACUGCGCUUGUGACUGGAAGGCUANAGUACCGCAGANGGGGGGUGGAAUUNCACGUGUAACAGUGAAAUGCGUAAAGA